UGUCAGGACAAGACGAAGCAGAAGCUAAAACAGACGACGAAGCCGCCGCACGCCCCGGGCACGCCCGUCCCCUUCCCGAACCUCCCCUCGACACCACCCCUCUCCACGGGCUCCCCGCGGGCCCGUGCCAGGACUGGGAACCUGCCCAGAAACUGUCCAAAACAAGCAAGUUUUGUGGCAAACUCUCCAGCCCCCGCCACGGACGCGCGGGGACCCCACGGACGCCGCGGCGCGGCUUUUAGGGAGCCGCUUUAUCGCCACGGGCGGUCUUAUCCAGGCAUAGGGGCAGCUGUGCGGUCUUGAGAAGACCUUGUGCAGAAGAGGAACUGGAGGAUGGAAGGACUGAGAGCUGUCCUGCAGAGAAAGAUUUGGGGAUACUGAUGGAUGAAAAAUUGGGCAUGAGCUGGCAAUGUGAGCUUGCAGCCCACACUCCCCCUCUACUCUGCACUACUGAGACCCCACCUGAAGUACUGUGUCCAGCUACAGAGUUCCUGGGAAAAAAAGAUGUGGAACUGUUGGAGCAGUUCAGAGGAGGGCCAUGAAAAUGAACAGAGGGCUGGAGCACCUCUGCUAUGGCAAAAGGCUGAGACAGUUGCAGUUGUUCAGCCUGGAGAAGAGAAGGCUCCGGGGAGACUUUAUUGUGGUCUUUUAAUAUGUAAAGGGGCUUUUAAGAAACAUGAAGUCAGACAUGUUACAAGACAAGUAGUGACAGGACAAAGGACAACAGUAUUAAACUGACAGAGGGCAGGUUUAGAUUAGAUAUUGGGAAGAAAUUCUUGACUGUGAGGGUGGUGAGGCCCUGGCACAGGUUGCCCAGAGAAGCUGUGGCUGCCCCAUCCCUGGAAGUGUUCAAGGCCAGGUUGGACGGGGCUUGGAUCAACUUGGUCUAGUGAAAGGUAGAUGGCCAUGGCAGGGGAGGUUGGAAUGAGAUGAUCUUUAAGAUCCAACCCAAACCAUUCUGUGAUCCUAUGAUUCUAUAAAAUUAGUAAAUUUUCACAGAUUUAUGGGUGAGGUGCUUCCUCUUGGAAUGUUCACAAAGUGGGCCUCACAUGACUUGCUGCCAGCCCUGCUAACAGUAUUGUGAGAGCAUUGGGUGUAAGUACUUUCCACAGUACUGUGAUGCAAUUUCUUUGAUCCAUGUUAGAGCAAAUAAAGCUCCAGUGCAAUUA